rnacentral:rRNA from 1 species
UGGGGAAUUUUGGACAAUGGGCGCAAGCCUGAUCCAGCCAUGCCGCGUGAGUGAAGAAGGCCUUCGGGUUGUAAAGCUCUUUUACCAGGGACGAUAAUGACGGUACCUGGAGAAUAAGCCCCGGCAAACUUCGUGCCAGCAGCCGCGGUAAUACGAAGGGGGCUAGCGUUGUUCGGAAUUACUGGGCGUAAAGCGCACGUAGGCGGAUUGUUAAGUCAGAGGUGAAAUCCCGGAGCUCAACUUCGGAACUGCCUUUGAUACUGGCAAUCUAGAGUCCGGAAGAGGUUAGUGGAAUUCCCAGUGUAGAGGUGAAAUUCGUAGAUAUUGGGAAGAACACCAGUGGCGAAGGCGGCUAACUGGUCCGGUACUGACGCUGAGGUGCGAAAGCGUGGGGAGCAAACAGGAUUAGAUACCCCUGUAGUCCCUGAGCGGGCUGGCAAGGCGCAU